GUGCUCACUUCAGCAGCACGUAUGCUAAAAUUGGAAUGACAGAGAUUAGCGUGGCCCCCGUGCAAAGAGGGCACACAAAUGUGUGAAGCAUUCCGUAUCUUU